rnacentral:tRNA from 1 species
GCCGGAGUGGCGGAACGGUAGACGCCGCGGACUUAAACUCCGCUGGGCCUCACGGCCCGUGUGGGUUCGACUCCCACCUCCGGUACCA